UGAUGAUCCAUGAUGGCCAACCUUCAUCCAUAUUCCAAACAUGACCUGAGGUUCGUGAAUCAGCAGGGUUGGCAUUCAGCACUCUCUACAUGACUGCUGGAAUGCAAGCAAUUGAUGAGAUUGUUCCUACACUUCUGCAUGCUCUGGAGGAAGAUCAAACCUCUGAUACUG